rnacentral:rRNA from 1 species
GACGAACGCUGGCGGCGUGCUUAACACAUGCAAGUCGAGCGGUAAGGCCCUUUCGGGGGUACGACGAGCGGCGAACGGGUGAGUAACACGUGGGUGACCUGCCCUCAGCUCUGGGAUAAGCCUGGGAAACCGGGUCUAAUACCGGAUAUGACUCCAUGACGCAUGUUGUGGGGUGGAAAGCCUUGUGCGGCUGAGGAUGGGCCCGCGGCCUAUCAGCUUGUUGGUGGGGUGANGGCCUACCAAGGCGACGACGGGUAGCCGGCCUGAGAGGGCGACCGGCCACACUGGGACUGAGACACGGCCCAGACUCCUACGGGAGGCAGCAGUGGGGAAUCUUGGACAAUGGGCGCAAGCCUGAUCCAGCCAUGCCGCGUGAGUGAAGAAGG